UACGAGGGGGGCGAGCGUUGUUCGGAAUUAUUGGGCGUAAAGGGUGCGUAGGCGGUUCCGCAAGUCCUGUGUGAAAUCUUCGGGCUCAACUCGAAGUCUGCACGGGAAACUGCGGGGCUUGAGUGUGGGAGAGGUGAGUGGAAUUCCCGGUGUAGCGGUGAAAUGCGCAGAUAUCAGGAGGAACACCGGUGGCGAAGGCGGGUCUCUGGGCAACAACUGACGCUGAGGAGCGAAAGCGUGGGGAGCGAACAGG
rnacentral:rRNA from 1 species